rnacentral:rRNA from 1 species
CCAGCAUGGAGGAAAAGAACUAACAAGGAUUCCCCUAGUAACGGCGAGUGAAGCGGGAUGAGCUCAAAUUUGUAAUCUGGCGGUCUCGCGGCCGUCCGAGUUGUAAUCUGGAGAAGCGUUUUCGGUGCCGGUCCGCGUACAAGUCCCCUGGAACGGGGCGUCGCAGAGGGUGAGAAUCCCGUCUUUGACGCGGUCCGCCGGUGCCGUGCGAUGCGCUCUCGAAGAGUCGAGUUGUUUGGGAAUGCAGCUCAAAACGGGUGGUAAAUUCCAUCUAAAGCUAAAUACUGGCGAAAGACCGAUAGCGAACAAGUACCGUGAGGGAAAGAUGAAAAGCACUUUGGAAAGAGAGUCAAACAGUACGUGAAAUUGUUGAAAGGGAAACGCUUGAAGUCAGUCGCGUCUCUCGGGACUCAGCCGGGUUGGUUCUCGGUGUAUUUCCCGAGUCUGGACGGGCCAGCAUCGGUUUCGACCGUCGUAAAAAGGCGUGAGGAACGUGGCACCCUUCUGGGUGUGUUAUAGCCUCUCGUCGUAUGUGACGGACGGGACCGAGGAACGCAGCGCGCCCCCCUUCGAGGGGGGCCGGGGUUCGCCCACGUAACGCGCUUAGGAUGCUGGCGUAAUGGCUUUAAGCGACCCGUCUUGAAACACGGACCAAGGAGUCUAACAUGCUCGCGAGUGUUCGGGUGGAAAACCCGUGCGCGUAAUGAAAGUGAAAGGUUGGGACCCCUCCCUUCGCGUUGGGGGCACCGACGCCCGGACUCGAGCUUCUGCGAAGGUUCCGAGGCAGAGCGCGUAUGUUGGGACCCGAAAGAUGGUGAACUAUGCCUGAGUAGGGCGAAGCCAGAGGAAACUCUGGUGGAGGCUCGUAGCGAUUCUGACGUGCAAAUCGAUCGUCGAACUUGGGUAUAGGGGCGAAAGACUAAUCGAACCAUCUAGUAGCUGGUUCCCGCCGAAGUUUCCCUCAGGAUAGCAGAGACUCGUAUCAGUUUUAUGUGGUAAAGCGAAUGAUUAGGGGCCUUGGGGUCGAAACGACCUUAACCCAUUCUCAAACUUUAAAUAUGUAAGAACGGGCGGUCGCUUGAC